CUGACAGAGAGAGAAAGAGAGAGAGAGAGAAAACAGGAGAAAGAAAGAGAAAAAAAAAUACCAAAAUUGAACAACUUUGUAAGAACUUGUCAUGUGUACUGGCCAUUACCUUUACCUGUGAGUAGAGAUGUGUUUACACAUAAAACAUGAGGGCUAGGUGUGUCGGAAAUUGGUUAGAUGUCAUGCAGUAUGUUUAAAGGAGGGGAGGAAAAAAAAUCAAGCAUAUAGGCACUUUCAAGAAAUGGCAUAAGUGCUCAAUCUGGUGUGUGUGUGCAAUAUGCAUUGCAUAAAAAUCAAAUAUAUUGAACUGGUCAAUGGGUCGUCAGAUGAUGACAUCGGCCAGCGGCAUUCAAAGAAAAAUAAUGUAAUUUUUUUUCUUUGUUCUUUUUGGAAUUGUUGCCAUGCAGAUGAGUAUAUUAUAGACUACCUUUGUGUCUCGUUGUUAAUGCAAUGUGUUCAUUUUAAAGGUACUCUGUGUAUUCAAUAUAGAGGAAAUGCAGUGACAACAUGUAGCAAAUGGCCCAAUUUGUAGAUGUAAAACUCCCGCCGCGUAUUGUGUUGAUUGGCUUGGUGGUGUUUAAAAAAAAAAAAAAUUAAGCCUUAUUGGUUCAGACAUCUGAAAACUAAGCAUUUUGUAAAUCUGUUCAGUCAUAAAAUGGUGCCAACGAGUGAGUGCUGUUGCUGCAUGUUAAUCUGCACUAAGGUAGAUUUCGUUGGUCUCCCAAAAUAUUGGCUCAAGGACCCUUCCGUAUGUAUGUCUAUCCGCCUGUGUUGUUACAAAUUUGAAGUUUGAUUCCCGAGUGGUUUCCAUCCAAAAGUUUGGUGUAGUUGUCAUGGAAUUGGUUUUGAAAGCGCCAUCGUAACAAAACGGCAAGCUGUAUUCAGAGUAUCACCAUCACUAUGUGGCGGGCCAGCAAGGGGUGCGAUUGGGAAGAAACCAAAGCAAAUAUGGUUUGUUGACCUAUGUGCCUGGCCUGCGAGCUGAAGGUUCCAUCAAUUUGUUGUUCAGUGGAGCCUCUUUGAAUACACCCUGCGUUCAGCUUAGAUUUCUAAACCCAGAUAUCUUCCUUGGGGACGGGUGAUGAGAUUCUGUCUUGGGCUAAUUGUAAAUAUUUGGGCAGCCACAUGGAAAAUAACUGGUUCUGAUCCAGUUCAGUCGCAUCUCAUAGAUGUGUGAUAGCGGUUUUAUAAACUCUGUCAGUAAAUUCCAGAGAAACUGGCAACAAUCAGUUAAUGUCAGAUUUACCUCAUUGUUAAAUGAUUGCUCCCAUGUUUAGAUUGACUGGAAACCAGCAAACUAGACUGUCCUUGACCACCUAUUUUUGGAGCCUAUGGUAUAGCCCAAAUGCUAACUGAUCGGGAGCAUCCUCUUCAGCAUAUAAAGAACCUGGUGCCUUACGCGCUCCGCAUGCUUACACGCUGGCCUGGUGCUUUGGAUCGCAGUUUGGCUUCUUUUUGCACUUUUCUUUUUGUUUGUUUGUUUUGUCCAUUUUGUUUGUGUCUAAGCCCCCACCCCAUGUGUGCUAGCACACAACUCGUGGUGCUAAAAAGGGUUUCUUGGUAAACUCUUAUGAAAAAAACAAAACAAAAAACAGUAGCAGAAUUCUUAAUAUAUAUAUAUUUUUUUCUGCUACCUUUCUUCUUCCCUAGCCUCAUUGCCAUCCCCAUUGCCCAGCCAUCCAGGUAUCGGCCUACAUGUAAACAUGGAAGGGGGUGGUCACCUAGAUGCAAGAUGAUGCAGAAGAGUCGGCUCUUCACUAGCCAAGCGCAUUUACAGGAACAGGCUGACUGGGAACAUUAUCUGUGACCUCAGGUGAUGCUUACAGCGAUGAAAGUUUUCCGAGUUUCCGGAUGUGGAGUGUAGAAUAAAUUAACCAGAUGUUGUUCUUUUGACAUUGUAAGUUUAACUAUGAAGUAUUAAGGAAACUGCUAACUGCGGUCAGCGGUACCAUAUGCAGCCUUGUGUUCGCGGUUAGCAGUAUCAUACACGGAUAACGUAAACCUUUACUGUUACCCGUGGUUAACUAAUAGGGGUUAGCAUGAUGUCAUGUGCUAAUGCUAAUCCCGUUUAGCACUUUUUUCAGCGUGGUCUGCCAGUCAAACGUGCCACUCAUCAUAACAAUGUCUGAAAUAAAUGCCGGCACACUUUGCACAUAGGAAUUGAUCAUUUUAGGAAAACUUUUAUCACUGUAUGUAUUGCUGUUGGCAUGCCUCCCUUAAAAUGCUCGAUAUGUGGCUUGGGUAGUUACGUGUUUGUUGUAAGUUGCUCAUUUAAUGGGGAGUAGCAAGCAUGUCUUCUUUGGUUUUCAUGUUUUAUGUAGUUUUACCUUUUCAGCGUUAUUCCACAUUAUUUGUAAUUUGGAAUGUUUCACCCACAAAAAAAAAGAAACCCUUUUUUCUUCAGUGCAACAUUUCAUCACUGUGUGCAAUAUCGUAUGUGCCAAUGGUGGCAAUAUAUGUAUAUCAAUUAAAUAUAUGAUUAUUAUUUGAAAGCAUGUGGCUGAAUUCCAUGUUUGUUUCUAAUGAAGGAGUUGUAUGCCUUUAUUUGCACUCAAUGCUCCAUCUUGGGAGAAAAUAUAGUUAAACCAAGGUCUUAGCAGACUGUUGGUUCAAGUAGUUAACAAAAGUACUUGAAAUAUAACGGUGUCACUGCUACCGGUAAACUAUGGGUUGUCAGAAGUACGCUUAAAAAUGUUAAACUGAGUUUUUGUGAAAAGGAAAACUUCCUAAAACGGUGAAAUUUCCAUAUUUAGCUUUAAGCUAAGAAAAGGUGCUUCAGUCCAAUCUUCAUUAAAAUGUACGGUGAACUGUCUUAAGUGGUUUUUGUGUGCGGCACUUUGCUUUUCCAGGUUAACGCCUGACCAAUACUUCUCAACAAAGAAUGUUAUUCUUUCUUCUGUUGCCUCUUUAUU